rnacentral:rRNA from 1 species
CUGGCCUACGGGGGGCAGCAGUGGGGAAUUUUGGACAAUGGGCGCAAGCCUGAUCCAGCUAUUCCGCGUGUAGGAUGAAGGCCCUCGGGUUGUAAACCACUUUUGUAGAGAACGAAAAGACACCUUUGAAUAAAGGGUGUUGCUGACGGUACUCUAAGAAUAAGCACCGGCUAACUACGUGCCAGCAGCAGCGGUAAUACGUAGGGUGCGAGCGUUAAUCGGAAUUACUGGGCGUAAAGGGUGCGCAGGCGGUUGAGUAAGGAAGAUAUGAAAUCCACGAGCUUAACUCGGGAAUGGCAUAUGUG